GCAAGCUUGACCCACUCUCCCCGCAGACGAGCAGGCAGCUCACCCUGGGCGGCUGGAUCGGCCACCCACACGAUUACCGGCUCUGCCACAGAGCCAGUUGGGGCGGCGGGGAUCAGGGGCCUCCCCGGCCCCUGGGAGUCCCAGCAUGCUCUGCAAAAGUGCCUGGGGCAUUCUGGAGAGUCCCCUGACGCCGGGAGUCUUGUUGUAACCUCCUCAUCAGGGGCUUGCUCGUGAGUUGCCGCACAGCAGAGCCACGCCGCAGCAACACACAAUCAGAUGGUGAGCCCUUAGGGGACAGGGAACCAACUUAUUUAUUUAUUCAUAUCUGUCAGGCAGUGGACUGACUCAGAAGAUUCUGAGGAAGAAUUGUCUGAUUCAUCGCCCCCUGAGGGGACCCUGCUGCAGGGUGCUGAGGAAGAAGCCCCUCCUACGGAGCACUCACCUGCUGUAGAACAGCAGGAGGUUGCUCAGGAGCAGUGCUGUCCUCAGAUGGGGAGGAGCCAGGACCAAGCAGCAGACUGCUGAGCCACAUGGAACACCGAAGAGAAUGCAGAAAGGAGCAGUGUGUUGGGCAACAUAGAAGCAGCUGGUUGGCUGCAAAGUCUGACAGGGGUGGCAUCUGAACUUUCAGCCCGAAGGCAGGUGGGGGCCUUAAUCGGCUUCACCUGGUGUAGUACCUUGAAGAACUAUAAAGCCAGACCGCCCCCUUUAUACCAUGCUGGUUUCAAUGGAUCACUUUGGCAUGUAGAUCUAGUCUCCAGCUCCCGUAACCCUUGUGCUGUUUAUUCUUAAACCCUAACCUUGGUCUGGAUAUCAAUGUGUGACUUUCUCUGGAACCCUUGGACCUCGGAACUGGUGAUUCGACACUUCUCCUGGCGACGACCCUGCUUUGGACUUGGCAUUGACUACGAUUGAUGGACUGGCGAGUUUAGGAGGUUACAACAACAUGAAUCGAAUUAUUGUAACAUCCUUCUCUGGUUAACUCAGGAUAGUAAGUGAAGAAAGACGAAGGCUUUGUGCACAUUUUCUGUAUUACCGAUCUGUUCUAAGAUAUUAGGACUGUGUUACAAAGGUGGAGAGAGCAAAUACUGUUUUUAUGGUUACGAAUAAAAAUGUUCCAAUACACUGAUUCUGAACAUAUUUACAUGGAAAUAA